rnacentral:rRNA from 1 species
UACGAAGGGUGCAAGCGUUACUCGGAAUUACUGGGCGUAAAGCGUGCGUAGGUGGUUUGUUAAGUCUGAUGUGAAAGCCCUGGGCUCAACCUGGGAAUGGCAUUGGAUACUGGCGAGCUAGAGUGCGGUAGAGGGUAGUGGAAUUCCCGGUGUAGCAGUGAAAUGCGUAGAGAUCCGGAGGAACACCGGUGGCGAAGGCGGCUUCCUGGACCGACACUGACGCUGAGGCGCGAAAGCUAGGGGAGCAAACGGG